GUGCCCAGGUGGCCAAGAAGCCACCAGCAUCCUGGCCUGUAUCAGCACCAGUGUGGCAGCAGGGCCAGGGCAGUGACUGUGCCCCUGCACUGGGCACUGGUGAGGCUGCACCUCGAAUCCUGUGUUCAGUUCUGGGCCCCUCACUACAAGAGAAACACUGAGGUGCUGAAGUGGGGCCAGAGGAGAUCAAAGAAGCUGAUGAAGUGUCUGGAGCACAAGCCUUAUGAGGAGCAGCUGAGGGACCUGGGGGUGUAUAGUCUGGAGAAAAGGAGGCUGAGGAAAGACCUUAUUGCUCUCUAUAAUUGCCUGAAAGGAGGAUGUUGCAACAGGACAAGAGGAAAGGGCCUCAAGUUGUGCCAGGGGAGGUUUAAAUUAGAUAUCAGGAAAAAUUUCUUCACUAAAGGGGUUAUGAAGCUCUGGAACAGGCUGCCCAGGGCAGUGGCUGAGUCACCAUCACUGGAGGCAUUUAAAAGACGUGUGCAUGUAGCACUUGGGGACAUGGCUAAGUGGUGGGCUUGACAGUGGUUGGUUUAUAGUUGGACCCAACGAUCUUAAGGGUCUUUUCCACCCUAAAUGAUUCUAUGAUCCUGUGUUCCCCUUCCUCUGCUGUACGGCUGUGUCUACACUAGAGAGCCUGCAAGGAACCCAGACUGAUCUUUGACCACUGCAAGCCAGAAGCUGGGCUAACAGCUGAGAGGAGACCUCUUUCACACCAUUCUCCAGAGGUCAGGUCCGUGCUCCAAGGCUCAGCCCAAACCCUCUCCUACUUCUUUUCACCAUUCCCAAUUAGAGAGGAACCCAGAUCAGCUUUCUCUGUGAGCCACGGCUUGCCCCUCACUCAGGCAGUGCUACUGCCACAGGCCAAGGGAGCUGCCCUACUUGCCCACGUGCUGGGGUCCUUUUCCCGUCCCCACUGGGCUGACUGCUGUAAGAAGCAUUAUUGAGUACUGUGUGAUGGUUAUUUAUUUGGAGUUGGGGUCUUUUGAAUUAUUCUUUUUUCACUUCCAGGUGAAUGGUAAAAUAAUUCCUGCUUCUCUUCACACCCCAAGGUUCCCCUCAUCCUCCCAGUCUAGACCUAAUCAAUCAGACUGCCUUAACUGGUGCUUCACUGCAGUCAGCCACCUUCCAAAAUGCAAGGUUACACAUUUCAUCACCCUUACCCUGCACUUCACACACGCACAGGGAGAGCAGGUUCUCCUGGGGUCCUGGCACCAAUCCCCAUCGCACCCACCUCUGGCUGGAAAGGGAGACGGUGGCAUCAGCCUCCCAGGAGGAGUGAGGCGGGUUGUGAACACCAGCCAGCUUGCCCCAGCGCUUGGGGAUGAUCGGGGAUCUCUGCAGGAUCAGUCGCUUCCCAUCCCUAUGAUUUCUUUAUAAAUAUGCACAUCCGAAAUCUCUCGUUCUUCCAUAGGAGUUACGGAAAUGCACAAUGUGCUUCUAACAUGCGCAUCCUCUAGCGAGUGCAAUAACCUCCCCUGGCCCACGGCUGUCCCGGACUUUGGCCAUUGCUGUCGGCAAGGCAGAGAGGAUCCUGCUGUGGGGACAGCCUCCUGCUUUCAACAACCAUGUAGCAAAUACACAGUGGAAGAGCCAGGUUGGAAUUUCAGUCUGUGGUGGGCAAAGCCUGUUAUAAUGCUGAAGGCUGACAGGGAGCUGUGUUUUUCUUUUCCCCAGGAAUUAUCUAUUAUGAAGCUCUGAGUUUCUUCAAGCUCCCUGUUAUGCCCAUAUCAUUCCUCCAGACAUCUCUCAGUCUAAUACAGAGGAAAAUUUUUUUAUUGUCUGUAUAUAGUAUAUAUAAAUUUAAAAAAUUAUAUAAAUUAUAUAUAUAUACACAAAUUUAUGUCUUGUUUUACAAACAAGAAAGAUUAAAUAUAUUAAUCUUAAUAUCCAAA